UCUUAACCGUUUGAAAAGUGC
rnacentral:piRNA from 1 species